GCUGGUAACGCGUCCACAACCCAGCUCGCGCUCCAGCGCCCGCGCGCCCGCCCCACCCGCCCUGCGCGCGCGCGCCUUACGGGACAGGAGGGACGGUUGGUGUUUGCGCCAACGGUCCGGGGACACAAGCCACGCCGGGUUACCAACAUGACACACAGCAAUGGGAAGAGGAGAGCACUGCAGAUCAGCUCCAGCCCACCACUGCGGGGGUUUCCUCUUAACACUAUACCUACUCUCCACAGCUCCUGGGGAUCACUGACCAGGGACUAAACCCUGGUUCCGCACAGUGAAAGUCUUAACCAAUGGACCACCAAGGAAUUCCCAAUGGUACUCAGUUUUAACCAUCCUAUUUCAUGAUUGCCUAGAAGAGUUAAGAAACUGUUGUGAAUGUCUCCAGCACUCAAUAAAAUUGCUCUCUAGAUCCCUACAUUUGACAAGUAGGCUCCAGAAUUCAGCCGUGAGCAAGGACACCACAUUUGCUCUCCAAAUGCAAUCUAUGCCCACACUUUUGACAUUAACGCAUACCUAUAUUUUUACUUCAUGGGCAGUUUUCUCCAGUUGGAAGAAGAGAGAAGAAGGAGUUAGAUUCCAGUGAGAAGGAUUUUAUACACCUUGCUGGCUUUGAGAUUUAGGGGCCCACAUGCAAGAGCCAGAAUGACAGCUCUAGGAGUAAAGACAAGUCCCCAGUUUGCAGCAAGCCAGGCAAUACAGACACUGGCCCUGCCAUCAUAAGGAACUGGAUUCUGCCAACAAUCAGACUGAGUUUGGAAAUGGAAUCCUCCCAGAGUCUCUAAAUAAGAAUCCAGCCAACACCUUGAUUUCCAAGAAAUCCAGAGCAGAGAACCCAGCUUAGCCAUCUCUGAUCUACAGAACUAUGAGAUAGUAAGUUUGUGUUGUUUUAAGCAC
rnacentral:lncRNA from 1 species